GGAAAGUGAUGACAGCAAAGGAGAAUUGUCCGGUGACAUGGCUGAAGCUGAUUAUGAAGGAUGGGACAAAGGGUAUAUUUCGAAAUUAAAAAGAGCACAGAGGGCUGUCAAACAAAUUGCUGGAGGUGAUGAUAGCAUGGAUGAGCAGGAGGAUGAAACACAAGAAAAUGUUUGGGGCAGAGGUAAAAAUGCAUACUAUGCUCCUGGUGAACAAUCUGGUGAUGAUGAGGUGGAUUACGAGGAGGCACAAAGGAUACAAAAAAAUAAGGAAAAAGGCUGUCUAUGAAGGAUUUUGGAUUAGAAGAUGGUGAAAGUGAUGAAGAGGGUAAUGCAACAAAGGUAUCCAACCAUGAAUCCAAAAUGAAAGAAGACUUUGUUGUCUUAUCAGGCGAUGAGAAAAUGGAUGUGCUAUACAGGUUUG